rnacentral:rRNA from 1 species
UACGUAGGGGGCAAGCGUUGUCCGGAUUUAUUGGGCGUAAAGAGCGUGUAGGCGGCCAGGUAGGUCGGUUGUGAAAACUAGAGGCUCAACCUCUAGACGUCGACCGAAACCAUCUGGCUAGAGUCCGGGAGAGGAGAGUGGAAUUCCUGGUGUAGCGGUGAAAUGCGCAGAUAUCAGGAAGAACACCCGUGGCGAAAGCGGCUCUCUGGAACGGUACUGACGCUGAGACGCGAAAGCGUGGGGAGCGAACAGG